rnacentral:rRNA from 1 species
CCUACGGGAGGCAGCAGUGAGGAAUAUUGGUCAAUGGGCGCGAGCCUGAACCAGCCAAGUAGCGUGAAGGAUGACUGCCCUACGGGUUGUAAACUUCUUUUAUAAAGGAAUAAAGUGAGGCACGUGUGCCUUUUUGUAUGUACUUUAUGAAUAAGGAUCGGCUAACUCCGUGCCAGCAGCCGCGGUAAUACGGAGGAUCCGAGCGUUAUCCGGAUUUAUUGGGUUUAAAGGGUGCGUAGAUGGGUUGUUAAGUCAGUUGUGAAAUUUUGCGGCUUAACCGGAGAAUUGCAAUUGAUACUGGCAGUCUUGAGUACAGGUGAGGUAGGCGGAAUGCGUGGUGUAGCGGUGAAAUGCUUAGAUAUCACGAAGAACUCCGAUUGCGAAGGCAGCUUACCAAACUGCCACUGACAUUGAUGCACGAAAGCGUGGGUAUCAAACAGGAUUAGAUACCCGGGUAGUC